AGUAGUUCUGGCUUCAUUUUCAAAAUUCAAACCAUAAUUUCAAACCUGCCUCUCUCUCUCUCAUAUAAAUUUAGCUAUAUUGGAUGUGUUCUGUUUUCUAGAGCUUCUAAGAAGAGGAGGAGGUCUUCCCCAAAUUCAACUUCAUCUCUAAUUUCCAGAUCUACAACUAGAUUUCACUCAAAUUCCAACAAUUUCAACACCACAACCUAUCAAUUUUCGGUGGAAUCAUCUGUUUUUCAUAUCAGCAGCUGUUGUUCUCCUUUUCGUAGCUUAAUUUUCAACUUAUUAGUGUGUAUAUAUAUACACACGUCGUACAAAUCUUAUUUCGCACUUGUAUCUUAGCUGUGCAUCAAAACCCUAAAUACAACUAUACUAAAAUCUAUCAGAUUUCGAGGGGUUGUUAAUUCAUGUUUUGAUUAAAGAAGAAGAACGAAAGAGACAUUUUUUUGGUAAAUUAUUGUUUGAGUUUACUUUUUCGACCUAUUAAUUAAUGCAAAUGAAAUAUUAGACUGCUUGUAAUCUUAUUAUUCAUAUUAAUAGUUUCAUCUGCUUGUAACCUUAUUACUCACUAUAAA